CUGGUGGUGGAUUUUUUAUUUUUUCUUGGGUUAAAUACAUGAGCAAAAGAAACUGCUUCACCUAGAACAGAUCAGUGGUCUAUGUGAAGUCGCAGAUGUUUUCCUUCUUGGUUGCCUCACCUUAUUGGAUGUUCAUGGAGAAGUUCUCUGUGUUGUGGCUGUGUCCCUUUGCUUCUCCUGCUUUUAACUCUUCCACAGCUGAGGCUGGG